CCAAACCAAGCCAAAGCCGGUUUUCGGUCAACUUGUUCAACUUCGCCUUGACUGAGUCGCACGAACGUAGGAAUAACAAACCUCGUCAGCUCCUCUCCAGUCAGUGCUGGUUUAGCCGUGGUGACAAUAGACAGCGCGAUGUUGUCGUUUCCCGUGAUCGAAUGAGCGCGCGAGUGAUAUUUCUGAGUCGGAAACCGUCUUGUCGUUGGUUGGUCAAGAAAAGUAGCGUUUUGAUUGAUUUAAGAUUGUUUUCGGACGUAAAACAAACGCGAAGGUUACCAAACAACCGAAACAUUGCCGUGAGAUUGAUCGAUGUGUGUUCUUUGUGACCAGUACAGUAAACGAGGGUUACGGCGGUGACCUUAGCCUGAACUGCGGUUCCACUUGCCGCCACACUGACUGGCGAAACUAAAGAAGGCAACAAAGCUUCAUCGUGAUGAAUUUGUUUAGCCUCCGUGUGGUUUACUGUUUCCAUCAACCUCUGCAAGAGGAAGUGCGAGUGCGAAAGUGAUUUUUAUAUUAAAGGUGUUUACUGAGUGCGUGUACCGAGUGAUCAACGAGGAUAAAGGCAAGGCGAGCAGCAAGCAAGUUGAUGAUAAUGGGAGUUUAAUCCAAUUUGUGAUAAUAAAUCAGUUCGUUUACAUUGCCGCUUUGCGUUGCGUGAGCUAGAGAGCGAGUGAAGUGUGGUAUCUCGAAAUCUUGAUUCAAUCACGAUUCACAUCAGAGAAGAAAAACAGCGGAAUUGCACCCUCGAAAGAACGAGUUUGUAACGGGAUAAUAGAGGCGUUUUAAAUUUGGAGCUAAAGCACGCAUGGCGCGUAUAAAACGGUGAUGGUAGAAGACUUGUCAACAAGAGGCCAUAUGUCAAGUCAAGUGAGCUGUGCAUGCUGAUAAGAAGAGCCAUUCUUCAUCUUCGACUGAUAUACACCUCGAUACAGCACCAUUCCAGUCGGCGGGCGUUAGUAUUUUAGUCCAUCGGGGAAAUGUACAGUCGGCGCCAACAGGCAGACAAUAUUAACCUUCUAAGGUGUCCAAGAAAAGCACCAACCGCGAAGCAAAAGCAACGACCAUUAAUUAACAAAUGAUCAUGCUGUACCACUCUCAAAAGCGCUGACGGACACGCGAAUGACAGAUCUGUAGCAAAUAGACCGAUACCCGAAGCCCAAUCACCGCUUUUUAAGGACACACGUGAGCUCCAAUAAAUGCAAUCGCUAAUUAACCAGAGAUAAUCAUACAGCGCACGGCAGCGGCGCUACGGACAAUGCGCCGAGUGUGAAACGGAGACCCUCGAGCCCCAGAUAGAGAAGGUGUGCUCAGUCAAAUGUCCGAAACGCCAAAAGGCAUUUAGAAAGAGAGUAGUGUAACCAGAUAUACACACAUAGCUGGAAGCGUACAUAAAAUAAAGCCAGAAAAGGCAUUAAAACAUGACGACGAUGGCAACCGACAGCAGAUCGGUAGCGGAGAGGCUGAGCAGGCACCUGCUUUCAUACCUGAUCGUCCUGAUAGUGUUAGUUAGCUGCUGUUUAGAUAGGACUGACAGUUGGGCACAAGAUGGCCUGGCCAAGUCAUACAUUACAUACGAUAACACGAUACCAGCCUUUUUCGGCAACAGCACUGAUUACUUUAAGUUGCUAGAUCAGAACGACAACUCGAUACUGAUAGGGGCGCGGAACGCACUCUACAACAUUAGCCUUGACCGGUUAAUUGAGCAUCCGAGCCAGAGGGUCUCGUGGACCUCGUCCGAUGCACACCGGGAACUGUGCACACUCAAGGGCAAGGCGGACCAGGACUGCCAGAACUACAUCCGCGUGUAUGCGCGGAUAGGCGCAAACAAGAUUAUGCUCUGCGGAACAAAUUCGUACAAGCCUCUGUGCCGGUAUUACUAUCUUCUGCCCGGCAAUGGCUCAAUUGCGUACGACAACAAUGAGAUGGAAGCCUUGGGGCGAUGUCCGUACAAUCCCUUACAUAACAGCACUUAUGUGUUCACCGACGGCCAUCUGUACUCGGCCACGGUAGCGGAUUUCUCUGGAGCGGAUCCGUUGAUCUAUCGCGAACCACAGAGGACGGAGCAGUAUGACAGCAAGCAGCUGAAUCAGCCGGCCUUUGUGAGCGCUGUGGAACACAAUGGCUAUGUGCUGUUUUUCUUCCGUGAAGUGGCCGUAGAGUAUAUGAACUGCGGCAAAGCGAUUUAUUCGCGCGUCAGCCGAGUCUGCAAAAACGAUAAGGGUGGGCCACAUCCGUUGAAUGACCGGUGGACGUCGUUCCUCAAAGCCCGACUUAAUUGUUCGAUACCGGGCGAAUAUCCGUUCUAUUUCGAUGAGAUUCAAUCAACCACCAAGACGAUUAAUGGUAUCUAUGGCGGUGACACGAAUCAGAUCAUUUACGCAAUCAUGACCACCCCGGAGAACGCCAUCGGAGGUUCAGCGGUUUGUGCCUUUGCCAUCCAAGACAUUCUGGAUGCUUUCGAGGGUCCAUUCAAAUGGCAGCAGAGCAUCAACUCCAAUUGGCUCCAGGUUCCCCAAAACCAGGUGCCGGAACCACGCCCAGGAAAGUGUGUCGAUGACAGCCGCACCCUACCGAAAGCUUCGGUAAAUUUUGUCAAAAUGAACACCUUGAUGGAUUCCUCCGUGCGGUCGUUGCACUCCCGACCCGUUUUCACACGAGUUAGUCUCCUGUAUCGGUUGUCUGCUAUCACGGUAGAUGCCCAAGUGAAAGCGCUAAAUGGCAAAACGUAUGACGUGAUCUUCGUAGGAACCAGCGACGGAAAGGUCAUUAAGUUCGUUAACAUAAUGUCGUCCAACUCGACGGAUGAGGUCAAAACAGUUACAAUCAGUGAAACACAAGCGUUCCCAAUUGGCACCAAGGUGAACGAAAUGACUAUUUCGAAAAAGAAUAAGAAACUCGUUGUUGUAAGCAAUGGAAAGAUAAUUUCACUGCCGCUUAGUAAUUGCAAUGAGCACGAAUUCAAAUCAUGCCGCAAGUGCCUCGAGCUGCAAGAUCCCUACUGUGCUUGGGACGACGAGAACCGUGAAUGUCGAAACGCCGAUGAACUACAUCUAAGUAGUCGAACGAUCAGUCGUUUCUUCCAGCGGCUGGAUGGAUCGAACGUCAACGAUAUUUGCAAAAAGUACGACCAACGUGAUCAACGACAACACACCAUGGAUGAUAACGACGUCUACACCAGAGUCGAUGGCUCUGGUUCGGCGGAAAAGGACAGCCCGCUGGAAACAAAAAACAUCGUCAUCAUCCAAGGCACUGUGUCCUCCGUGGGCUCGGUCGACAUUGAUAAUGAAAUAUCAAAAACCUCGAUCGAGGGUAGCGUGCUGACGAACAAAAUUGGAUCCCAUCCGUACCACCAUAAAACAGAUACGCUCAUCAAAGAAAACGUAUCGAUGGCCUCGUUAAGUUGGCAGGUCAGCAUAAUAUUGGCGGUCCUAUCGGCCAUCAUUGGUAUGGUAAUCGGUUUUUGCAUCACCCGACGAGUAAUCAGUAAGCAGUCCUUUCAUGGCAGCGAGCAUCGGAAUCAACUGAAUUGGCAUCAUACUAAGAAUUUGAGCAUGCUCUCGCAGAACCGCACCAGCGGAAAGGACGUAAACCUGCUGAUGAACACAAACUCGAGCAAUCAGUACCACACACAGCAGCAAGCUAUUGUGCAGCAGCUACAGCAGCACCACCACCAGAACAAUAUGAAGGACAACAUAGACUUCGAUUUCAAAGACCGGAGUGUCGAGUGUAAGAACUCGACGGAGAACCUGGAGAAAGACAUCAGCAAAGGCAUGGGCACGCUGCAGAAGGUGAAAAAGACGUAUAUUUGAUAGUUAAAGACUGCUUUCGGUGAUUGGGACAAAUAACCGCUGCUAGUGUAUGCAAACCUCCACUUUUUUCGGUACUACUUGUAAAUCAAAAUCAUGCACACACAAACACGCAAAAAAAAACAAAGUUGAGAAGGCCACAUACAUUGGCACCUCCCUUGCGGUUGGAUCGCAAAAUUCUAUAAUUUUCUUCCUGCCUGUGAACUAGCGUUCUACUUCUACGACUAAGGAAAGGUACAGGGAUGGAUGAUGUCUUCAUCUUGUGAUUGUGCUAGAUUACUCCUAAUGCCGUUUCACCAAACGCCACCACAGCAAAGACUCCACAGUUGAAGACAUUCAAGCCUUAGAAGAUACAGAGAUAGUUGAUGUGAGUGAAAAGAAAGAGUGUGAUUGAAAUCCAAGUGCUGCCGUCGAGUUUUACCAGUGCAUGUGAAAGGUAAAACAGCGAUGGAUCGUAUGAUAAGCGAAAUACCGAACAGAGUGGCGUUAGAAAAUGAUUAGAAAACUUUGUGAGAGACUGUGUGCCUAGCACAAUCAUCCCCAGCCAGCAAGUAUGCCACGUUUGGUUGAAGUAGAGGCCUUACUCUGAAACAUGUGCCCAUUAUUCUACACAGGGAAUAUCAAACAGUGCAAACCACAAAUCCAGCAUAUGUCACUAGAAAAUCCAGCGCAACCAUUCUCCCCUAGAGGCAAAGAGGCUAUCGACUACUAUUCUCAAUCUGUGAAUCUUUUCAUUUGUUUAGCGAUGCACUAGUCUAUUCAAAUUAUGUACCUGAUUUUAGUUGAAAGACGUUUUCUUCUCCACACGAUAUUGAAUAUACAAUUGAUUUUUAUUUGUAUUUAA